UCUGCACAGGGUAACCUUUCAACCGGCUGAAACGGCAUAAUCAAGGCCCCUAAACUGGACUUGCAACAACUUGAAUUGGGACACUAUGUGAACAUGUUAAACCUAUGCAAUUAGUACAGGUUACAGAAAGCGCUGAACUACCAGGCCAACACCAACGGUAACUGUGGUCCAGUACAUCAUUUGUAGAUCUUCAACACUCUGGCACAAACCAACACGGUGAACAGAAUGGAAGAAUCAAUUAGUACAGGUUCUUAACUGAUACAGGUAAAACAAGCAGUAAUACUCCCUCCGUCCCAAAUUACUGUUCGUUUUGACUUUUCUAGGUGCAUAGCAUUUGCUACGUAUCAAGACAGAUCGUAUAUCUAAGCUAUGCAUCUAGAAAAGCCAAAACGAAUACUAAUUUGGGACGGAGGGAGUACAAUUUUGCAUACCUGGAAGUACAGGUUACAGAAAUCAGAUAAGUACACGUGAUAUGCUUUUCCUUCUCUUUUGAAAAUAAGCUCGUCAUGAGACAUAAAAACUUCCUCAGCAUGUGUUGAAUCUGCAGUAUUAUCUUAAUCUCAAGGCCAAAUGAUGGGGAAAUGAAUAAGGAAAUUAAAGGAACCAAAGAUGCUCACAAGGUUAAGAUUCAACCCGUUGACCAGGACCUAAAUGCUGGUUAACAUGAGACAGUGCUUGUGUGCUACAUGACCAGCACUGAGACAUGGUAUGUCACAUGCUUGAUUAGCAUUCAUCCAAAAGAUUCAACAGAAAGUCAGCCAGUGUUGCAUGCACCUAUUAUCAGUUUAUCACCAGUCAUAACCCAUAGAACCAAGUUCAGUACUAAAGCCCAAGCCACUUAAUACAUCCUUAUUCAGAAGAAAAGAAAAAAAACUCACAAUAGAUACUGCAGGAUAUUGUCAAUCAUGAGGGCAUUAACAAAGAUAAUCACAAAAAUUAACACAUGGAGAACUUAUCAAGUAGCAAGCGGCAUAAAAGCCCAAUAUAUAUAACAAAGUACCAUGUCUUGCUUUUGACUGGCAAAUAGACAAAAGGCAUAAAAAUGUACUAGUAAACAAUAAAAGCAUCAAACGGCUAGAAUGCCCA
rnacentral:lncRNA from 1 species